GGAGGAUACAGUUCAGUGGUUAGAGCACAUGCUUAGCAUGCACGAGGUUCUGGGUUCAAUCCCCAGUACCUCCA
rfam:Camelus ferus unplaced genomic scaffold scaffold256, whole genome shotgun sequence.